ensembl:snoRNA
GUGCCUUUUAAGGCUGAUGCAGUGCUUUAAGAGGCUAACACUGAAGGGUAAAGAAAACCAUAAAACCCAGAGAAGAGAUUGCAAAACUCCUCUUUGAAUCCUGUCUGGAUUCAAAGCU